rnacentral:rRNA from 1 species
UGUAAGCGUAUACCAAAGUUGUUGCAGUUAAAACGCUCGUAGUCGGAAUUUGGCGGUUCCGGAUGUGUGCACGUCGUGUGCGCACUUCGCGGGGAUUGCUUUUGUGGUCUUGCGUAGGAUGAGGCACUUUUAUUAGUGAACGUCCUCACGCAACCACUUUUUACUGUGAGAAAAUCAGAGUGCUCAAAGCAGGCAUUUGCCGUGAAUGUAUUAGCAUGGAAUAAUAGAAUAGGACUUGGUUCUAUUUUGUUGGUUUGUUGGGACUGAGUAAUGAUUAAGAGGGACAGUUGGGGGCAUUUGUAUUCCGGCGCUAGAGGUGAAAUUCUUAGAUUGCCGGAAGACAAACUGCUGCGAAAGCGUCUGCCAAGGAUGUUUUCAUUGA